rnacentral:lncRNA from 1 species
CGACGACCCUAGCUAGCGUCUGGCCUACUGAAAGAAAGGCGCGCUGGAAGCUCACAAUGUGCUGAGUGAAUGAAAAAGGAAAGAAGGAACUAAUAAAAGGGAAGAAGAAAAAGGGGGGAGGUGACAGAAAAAGAACAAAACUUCAGGGUUGAAUCUGGAGAAGAAAAGGGAGAUUUGAAACCCCAGAAAGUGUGGAGCAGGAUUGCCCGUCGCAGAGACUCUCAGGCUCUCAAACAGGGAGACAGGGCGAGGCCUGCCCAGCCUCCUGGAACUGCGCCCUGGAACACGCCUCGACUUCUCGUGGGUAAGGCCCGGUGCCUGGAAGACCUCCCAGCGCCUGCAGCCCGUCUA